AUUAAGGGCAACGAGUUGAAUUUGUCGCCCAUAGUUAAAUUAUGGGCGACUAAAUUUAUUGUUGUUGCCCCAAAUUCAUAUUUGGGCGACGAGAUAAGUUUGGUUGCCCAUUACUUUAAUUAGGCAACAAAACAUUAUAUUUUGUUGCCCUUAUAUAAUAAAUGGGUUUGUUCAAAUCAUGUAUCGUUGCCCAUAAUCAAAAGAAAAUAGCGGGGAAAACCCCGCUCUAAAUUUUUCACACAAAACCACAUAUUUCACUUCUACAAUACUUCAACUGCUCAUGUCCUUCUCAACUCACACCCUCUUCCACUCCACCUCAUCUUUCUCUUUUUCCGGUGAAUCGUUAUUCUUCCGACGAGUUCUUCGACUUUUGUCAGUUGAUGAGUUUAAUUAUGAUGGAAAAUUGAGUUUCUCACGAAUCAGACUUCGACGGUUAGCGUUUCUCAGGUUUCUCGACGUUUUCAACCACCCCACGUUUCUCAGGUGAUGGAGGCCGGAGUUCAGUGGUGAGGUUAGCGCGAGUUCGGCGGCAAGGUUGGUAUCUUUUAUUAUUUGGCCUAACUCACGAAUCAAACUUCUUUCUUGUGUUUACCUAAGAAUUAUUGGUAUGAAUUUGUCAAUGUUUUCUUGAAUGGAAGGAUUUCUUGUUUUUAUUUCUUGCCAAAUAAAAUUGCUUUGUGGUAGUAAGUUUGAAGACUACUCUAGGAAUAUGAUUUCACUUAGAUGCGAAAAUAUAGGUGCUAAUGUUUAUGUUGAUUAUGGGAUUGGUAUAAAUGAGCAUAAGUUUUCUCCAAUCCCUGUUUGAGAUUACUGAUUAAUUGUGUAUACUUUUCUACAAUUAAUCACUUCUUCUAUGAUAUUAAGGUCAUUGAUGAAACACUUAGGUGGGUAACUUUCUCAUUCGUCGUCUUCCGAGAGGCAAUAUUAGAUGUCAAUAUUAAUGGUCAGUAAACAGAUGAAGCUAUCUCAUUAUUUUUCAGAAAAGAUUAGAAGCAUAUGCAUUUGUUUUCCUCUAAUCUUCUCCUUUUCUGCUUUAUUACGUUUAAUUGAUAUUAUUACAGGUUACACAAUUCCUAAAGGGUGGAAAGUGUUGACAUGGUUUAGGACUUGUUAUUUAGAUCCUGAAGUCUGGCAUGAACCUAUGAAGUUCAAUCCUUCUAGAUGGAAAGUAAGUUCAAUACCGUGGUUAUAUUUCAUCUCUUCAACAAGUUUAGUAAUGAUCGUGACAGUCCCAUUCAUCCAUUUUUUCUUAAUACUAAAUUUCCGCGAUUUUUUUAUGGAAAAGAUUUUAUUGAUUAACAAUGGACCCUUUUUUUUUGUUUAAAGAACCUUGUAUAUUAGUCAUAAAAGUUAUAAUUGUGCAUAGAUGAUAAAACAACACUUACUGGUAAGUGCUGUGAGUAAAUUUUUUCUCACAGCAUCGUAUGUUCUUGAAGACUAAUUUGAUGCAUAGCUGAGUCUAGGUUUGCACUUGAUCUGUGCGAAAUUUUGAUGCCAUAAGCAAUGGCUGAAAGUCUGUCUGAGGUAGCUCUGUGUGGUGCAUAUCUUUACUGAGGUUGUUGAGGCUGCCAUUUCUCUAAAUGGUUUCUGAUUGAGAAAGUUCUAUUUGUUUUUGUGCAUGAGCACUAUUGUUUGAUAUCUGUUCCCUAAGCUAGAUUUUUUCCUGCAACAAAGUUUAGGGAAAGGAUUGAACCAAACAAAGAUUAGACAGGUAGUUUAAUAAUGCUUUUAUAAUACCACUUUGUAUGCUUUAUCCGUCUCAGCUUGUGUAUCCUUUAACUUUAAAUUUGUACUUUACUAAUGUCACCGGCUUGUUAUUCUAAGGGUGAGUUAGUUAGUACAAGAAUUAUCUAGUGUGUUAGUUAUAAAAAUAACACUUUUCCACUAAUUGUUGUUUCUCUUCUGAUUUUGUUCUGAUUCGCUGAGGGCCCCGACAAUGACCGUGGCAGCCAGUCAUAGCUACUAUCUGCAGAUUGUAGAGCCGCAUCAACGUAUGCCAGUGUUUAUAUGAGCUACUUGCUGCACUGCCUGCUAUAAUUUUUAUGUUUAAUGACCUGCCUUUAUGUUCAUAAAUUUCUAACCCCUUUCAGUUCUUUUUCUGUUUGCAAGAUUGCAAUUCCCACAUGAUUUACAGGGUAGGAGAUUAGAGUAUAUGAUUAAAAUUUAGUUUACUAUUAUGUUUGCUAUUCGAUUAAUUAUGAUGUUCUGUGAAAGGAAUUUGCUCUAUCCAUUAUUAUGUCUUAAUGCAACGACUUGGGGGCUUGAGAAUGCAAUAGUAAGUAAUGUAGAAAAUUCUAGAUAUUGAACCUUGUGCUACUGUUCUGAACUUAUGAUGCAUAAGAGAACAUUGAAAUAUUUGCAAACUUUUCAGGAUUGAUUUCUUGUGCUACUGUUCUGAACUUAUGAUGCAUAAGAGAACAUUGAAAUAUUUGCAAACUUUUCAGGAUUGAUUUGUCGUAAGUUGUGGGUUGUCUAUAGGGGUGAAAGUUCGGUGUGCGGUUUGGAUUAGGGCCUAAUCCAAUCCGAUCCGAACAAAAUUUGGAUUUCAAUUUUUCAAUCCGAAUCCAAACCAAUUAGGGUUUGAAUCCGAUCCAAUCCAAUCCGAAUUUUCAUACUCUAAAUUGGAUCCGAUCCGAAAAUCCGAUUUUUUUAAAACUCUAGUUUUUCGAUGAAAUGAAUUAAGCACAACAACAACUUAGCAGAUUUAGUAAAUGAGGAAUUAAGUGUACUUAGUGUUUUAGGGGAAGGGUUGAAGUGCUAUGUAUAUAUGGAGUAGUUUUUUUAUAAAAAAGAUAAGCACUUAAGCCCAAUCCAGAUACAUAAUACAAGGCAUAUUACUAUUUGGUUAUAUUGGAUUUUUGGAUCCGAUUACCCUCAAUCCAAUCCGAUCCGAAAAUCCAAAUUUUCAAGAAAUCUCAAUCCGAAUCCAAUCCGAACACAGUUCAAAUCCGAUCCGAAUUACUAAUUUGGAUUGGAUUGGAUUGGAUUUUGGAUUUUAUCCGAAUAACUUUCACCCCUAGUUGUCUAUUUACAGACUCCACAACUGUCCAUUAGAUAAGAAAGAAAAUCUUCACUUUUAGCAAAAGUCGUACUUAUGAACAUGGAGCAUUUUGUUAUCAAAUAUUAUGGAUAAAAUUCCUUUAGAAUAUGAGCCAAAUUAUAGUUCUCGAUUUGACGAACUCCAAACUUUAAUUUCAUAUUAUCAUUACUAAUAAUAUUUUUUGUCUUUUCUUUUCUAAGUGAUUAGUUGUUUUUAGGUUUGUUGAGUGUAUCAACUAUGAUCUGCCUUGUACUUACCUUGGUCCGCCUUUAAAAUUUAAUCCUAGUGGAGUAGUUUGUUGGACCGGGUUGUAUUUUCUUCUCCCCUUUAAGCUCAUGAUGGAUGCAGAUAGAAGAUCGGAUAGAUCUAUGAGGGUUAUUGUGGUCUUGUAGAGGAGGAGGAGAGGGAUUAAUUUAUGAGAUGGGAUCAUGUGUAUUGAUCGAGGGUAGAAAUUGCUGGUCUGAUGUUGUUGUCUUUGGAAAGAAGGAUUACCAUAAGUCGUACUAUGAAACUCAUUGUUGAUAUCAUUGUUGUCGUUUUGAAUGAUAUAGUGAUUGUAUUGUUUUGAAUGAUUUAGUGAUGGUUGCAUCUGGACAUAUUGCUUUUUUUGGGGCGGAAGAGUAAAAAGAUCAUUUUCCUCCUCCCCUCCCCCCCAAUUUUUUUUAUCACAUGAGUGCCUAAUUUUAACGAUUUCGCUUUUAUCAGGAACAGUGGGUCGUGACUAUUUUCUCAAAUUAGUAAAGGAAAGCUAUAUGAAGUAUGACAAGGGUUGGAUUAUGUGAAUUUCUUUGCAGAUUAUGGGUAGUGCUAAUUAGUUUUUUCUAGAUUUAUUUUGAAUUUUGUAAGAUAUUCAAGUUACGUCGGAUGUUGAAUUUGAAGAUUAUUUUGUACUCCACCGAUUGUCUACAAUUUAUAUUCCAUGAAUACUUCUUUUAUUAUAUCA